rnacentral:snRNA from 1 species
AAAAAAUGGAACGAUACAGAGAAGAUUAGCAUGGCCCCUAUGCAAGGAUGACACUCAAAUUCCUGAAAUGAUCCAUUAAAAA